rnacentral:rRNA from 1 species
AACGCGAAGAACCUUACCCAGGCUCGAAAUGCAAGUGGCGAUAUCAGAGAUGAUAUUUUCCGUAAGGACGCUUGUAUAGGUGCUGCAUGGCUGUCGUCAGCUCGUGCCGUGAGGUGUUUGGUUAAGUCCAGCAACGAGCGCAACCCUUAUCAUUAGUUGCCAACACGCAAGGUGGGGACUCUAAUGAGACUGCCUAGGUUAACUAGGAGGAAGGUGAGGAUGACGUCAAGUCCGCAUGGCCUUUAUGUCUGGGGCUACACACGUGCUACAAUGGUCGGUACAGAAGGCAGCAAGACCGUAAGGUGGAGCAAAUCCGUAAAACCGAUCUCAGUUCAGAUUGUAGUCUGCAACUCGACUACAUGAAGCUGGAAUUGCUAGUAAUGACGUGUCAGCAACAACGUCGUGAAUACGUUCCCGGGCCUUGUA